rnacentral:rRNA from 1 species
AUUGAACGCUGGCGGCAGGCCUAACACAUGCAAGUCGAGCGAGCGGCGGACGGGUGAGUAAUGUAUGGGGACUGCCCGAUAGAGGGGGAUAACUACUGGAAACGGUAGCUAAUACCGCAUAUUAUCGGAUAAUCCAUAUGGGAUUAGCUAGUAGGUGGGGGAAUGGCCCACCUCGGCGACGAUCCCUAGCUGGUCUGUGAGGAUGAUCAGCCACACGAGGACUGAGACACGGCCCAGACGCCUACGGAGGCAGCAGUGGGGAAUAUUGCACAAUGGGCGCAAGCCUGAUGCAGCCAGGCCGGGUGUAUGAAGAAGGCCCUAGGGUUGUAAAGUACUUUCAGUCGGGAGGCGUUACCGACAGAAGAAGCACCGGCUAACUCCGUGCCAGCAGCCGCGGUAAUUC